rnacentral:rRNA from 1 species
CAAUAGCGUAUAUUUAAGUUGUUGCAGUUAAAAAGCUCGUAGUUGGAUUUCGGUUGAGAGCGGCCGGUCCGCCGUUUGGUGUGCACUGGCUGGUUUCAACUUCCUGUAGAGGACGCGCUUUGGGCUUAACGGUCUGAACGUGGAGUCUACGUGGUUACUUUGAAAAAAUUAGAGUGUUCAAAGCGGGCUUACGCUUGAAUAUUUCAGCAUGGAAUAACACUAUAGGACUCCUGUCCUAUUUCGUUGGUCUCGGGACGGGAGUAAUGAUUAAGAGGAACAGUUGGGGGCAUUCGUAUUUCGGCGCUAGAGGUGAAAUUCUUAGAUUGCCGAAAGACAAACUGCUGCGAAAGCGUCUGCCAAGGAUGUUUUCAUUGA